CAUUUAUUGCUAAAGAGUUUAAAAACCAAAAAAGUAUUUAAAAAGCAAAUUUUGUUUUCUAUUAACAGGAAUUUAGGUUCUUCUGAUGACGACUGGAUUGUCACUGCUGCUGCAAAGUCUCUUAACAAGGACACAUUUCAAAAUUACUGUGUCGACUGUUUAAUAAUUCAGUGUUGCUUUGUUAUUGUCUGUGCAAGGCAGGCAUCACAUUUCUACUUGUGUCUUAUACACAUUCACUCGCUGAAGCAACACACAAAUACACAGACUCUCAAUCUCUAAAAUCUCUGAAUUUUUAGUAUUUUUUGUUUACAGUUGAUUGUCACCACAUGCAUAUUUUUCACAUGGUCUCUCACUGCAAGCACACAACUGUAGCUUAAUUACUGAUCCAAGCCCACCGGUCUGAUUAGCAAAAGCAGUGGUAUUAGCCAGUAAUGCUCUUGGUUCACGGGACUCACAUUCUCAUGUGACAUUUUGAGCAGAAUCCCGGGGCUAUUACACUAUAAAAGCGCCAAGAGGGAAUCAGCUGAGAAGCACACAACUGGUGGCUCCUGACCUCCUAUGCAGGUCAGUACAUGAUAUUUAGGCAGGUCACAAUGGAAAAGUAAGUAAGUGUAGCUGAGGAAAGAAAUCAGUGAAAUCUUGUAAUCUGUGAUGAAGCCUAGCGAAGGCUGCCAAUAAAAUUUAAGCUUUGUUGCAUUCGAUUAUUUUUAAAGUUUAACCCUCAGUAGGACCUACAGCCAUUUUUCAUCCACAGCGUUUUUUAAUAUUAGGCCAUUUUCACUGUGUUGAAUAGAAUAUAGCCAAACCUUCCAACCCUUUUUUUUUUUCUUUAGAAUUGCCGUCUCCGUUUAUUCGAUUAGCUUAAGGUGGCUAAGCUAAAAACCGACAUCCACAUGAGGCGCUAGAGCCAUAAAUCGCCCCAUUGAAACCCAUUAUAAACGCUAUUUUUCACUGCAGGAUUUAUACCGUAAGCAUCUCGGCGAUGGCUUAAGUUUCAUUUCCGUUUUGGAGAAGGGGCCUUAGAGUUGUAAUUUUUUUUAUUUGGCCACCGAGUGGCGCCCUUGCUUCACAUUUGACAACUGCUGGAAAACAGCGGGCUGCCGUAACAGACCUGCGGGAAAAGAAGACUCAUUUGCGGCUUGCAGCACCGGCUUCGCCCGCUGAUCAGGCGGGACCAUUUUCUGUCCCCAGGUCGUUGAGAGGGUGCAAAUUUUUUUUUACUCAACCGGAAAUGACGUAUUUGUUGUCACGUGGUACCGGACGUGUGUGCUGGAGAAAUGCGUCCCACGAAAAAAUGCCCCGGUUCUUCGUCGCGACUUAGCCAGGAAGAUGCACCUCUGUCGGCCUAGAGAAGGAGCAUUGGCCACCUGGAGAACAUUUCCGGCUCCGGAAAAAAAAAUUAUACUCUCAUGUGUGCUGUACGCAUCUAUAACACUGCAAGAAACACUGGUUUCUUUCUUCAGUCUCCACAUCAAUGAGGAAUAAAUCCACAGUGGAAGCCUGGUUCUCAGAGCUCUGCAAUAUGGUGGUUUCAGCACCACCAUCAGGUUCUGGGCCAGAGAUCCCCACCACAUCUAGAAAUCCAGCUGCUGUUUCAUGCUCUUCCAUGACAACUCCUCUAUCAGUUACAUCUUCAGAUGCAUCCACCCCUGCUUCAUCCUGCUUCUCUUCAACACCAGCAUCUUCUUCACU